rnacentral:lncRNA from 1 species
AAUGACUGUUUAUUGGUCAUGUAUGGACUCCAGGCCUGGCCCUUUUUUAAUAUAUGAUGAUCCAUUGCCAAUAGUGGAAGGAUCCGAAGAGCUGAUCGAUGAUGAUGGCAAAAGGCAGCUUCGUUCUCAAAUUAAAGCCUAGCAUGUGCGAAGCUAGUUCUGUUUCUUUCUUGAUUUCUUUUUAAGAUUUAGGGCAAAACAAAGAACAACACACACAUGCCUAAUAAUUAAUUGGAUCGUAGUAUCUCUGGCUGAGAAAGGCAAGAUGUGCUGUUUGAAAAAAAAAAUGAAAAUGGCUUUACUGAUUGUCUACUUAAGCCACC